rnacentral:rRNA from 1 species
AUGAACUGCAGUCUCGGGGAUUGCCUGCUGGAUUGCACUGAUGAGCCUUGGUACGUCAAGGUGCUCGUGUUCCCCAUCAAGACGCUCCUCAACUACGCCGGCGGCUUGCUGAGCCUCUACAUCCUCUAUCUCAUCUACUUCCGCCCAUACGCUGUCCGGCCACACGUGGACGCCGCCGCCCUGGCCGCCUUUGACCUCGCCCCCGGGCCCGGCAACACUACUAUGCUCCGCUACGACCUCGCCCCCAACGUCACCUUCUUCAACGACCACCGGGUCUGGGCCAUCCGCUACAACCACUUCUCCGCCAGGCUCUACUUCAACGGCACCAAGCUCAGCCCACCGGACGACACAUUCCCAAAAUUCAAGAGCAGGUUGCGCCGGCACCGCACCAUGCACCCCGUGCUGCACGGCCGCGCCAGCAACAUCAGCGCCGCCAUGGCCGAAGAGUUCUCCUGGCAGCGGGCGCAGGGGUGGUUCACUGUUGAAGUCAGGCUCAGGGCCACCUUGACUUAUGCCCUAUUUCCCGUACACUACGUCUACUACUACGAGUUCUACUGCUGGCUACAUUUCCCUAGCAACGCCACCAUGCCAUCGGUCGUCAGCGAUGUCAAGUGCAGCAAGGGCAAAAAUUUCGGGCUCUCCUAA